AGAUUAAGUUAUUAAGGGCGCACGGUGGAUGCCUUGGCACUAGAAGCCGACGAAGGACGUUACUAACGACGAUAUGCUUUGGGGAGCUGUAAGUAAGCUUUGAUCCAGAGAUUUCCGAAUGGGGAAACCCAGCACGAGUUAUGUCGUGUUAUCGAUAUGUGAAUACAUAGCAUAUCUGAAGGCAGACGCGGAGAACUGAAACAUCUUAGUACCCGCAGGAAGAGAAAGAAAAAUCGAUUCCCUGAGUAGCGGCGAGCGAAACGGGAAGAGCCCAAACCAACGAGCUUGCUUGUUGGGGUUGUAGGACACUCUAUACGGAGUUACAAAAGAACAGACUAGACGAAUCAUCUGGAAAGAUGAAUCAAAGAAGGUAAUAAUCCUGUAGUCGAAAGUUUGUUCACUCUUGAGUGGAUCCUGAGUACGACGGAACACGAGAAAUUCCGUCGGAAUCUGGGAGGACCAUCUCCCAAGGCUAAAUACUCUCUAGUGACCGAUAGUGAACCAGUACCGUGAGGGAAAGGUGAAAAGUACCCCGGAAGGGGAGUGAAAUAGAACUUGAAACCGUGUGCUUACAAGUAGUCAGAGCCCGUUAAUGGGUGAUGGCGUGCCUUUUGUAGAAUGAACCGGCGAGUUACGAUUUGAUGCAAGGUUAAGCAGUGAAUGUGGAGCCGUAGCGAAAGCGAGUCUGAAUAGGGCGUUGAGUAUUUGGUCGUAGACCCGAAACCAGGUGAUCUACCCAUGACCAGGUUGAAGUUCAGGUAACACUGAAUGGAGGACCGAACCGACUUACGUUGAAAAGUGAGCGGAUGAGUUGUGGGUAGCGGAGAAAUUCCAAUCGAACCUGGAGAUAGCUGGUUCUCUCCGAAAUAGCUUUAGGGCUAGCCUCAAGUGAUGAUUAUUGGAGGUAGAGCACUGUUUGGACGAGGGGCCCUUAUCGGGUUACCGAAUUCAGACAAACUCCGAAUGCCAAUCAAUUUAACUUGGGAGUCAGAACGCGGGUGAUAAGGUCCGUGUUCGAAAGGGAAACAGCCCAGACCACCAGCUAAGGUCCCAAAAUAUAUGUUAAGUGGAAAAGGAUGUGGCGUUGCCCAGACAACUAGGAUGUUGGCUUAGAAGCAGCCAUCAUUUAAAGAGUGCGUAAUAGCUCACUAGUCGAGUGACACUGCGCCGAAAAUGUACCGGGGCUAAACAUAUUACCGAAGCUGUGGAUUGUCCGUAAGGACAAUGGUAGGAGAGCGUUCUAAGGGCGUUGAAGCAUGAUCGCAAGGACAUGUGGAGCGCUUAGAAGUGAGAAUGCCGGUGUGAGUAGCGAAAGACGGGUGAGAAUCCCGUCCACCGAUUGACUAAGGUUUCCAGAGGAAGGCUCGUCCGCUCUGGGUUAGUCGGGUCCUAAGCUGAGGCCGAUAGGCGUAGGCGAUGGAUAACAGGUUGAUAUUCCUGUACCACCAUUAUUCGUUUUAAGCGAUGGGGGACGCAGUAGGAUAGGCGAAGCGUACGAUUGGAUUGUACGUCCAAGCAGUGAGAUUGAGUGUUAGGCAAAUCCGGCACUCUUAAGAUUGAGCUGUGAUGGGGAGAGGAAAUUGUUUCCUCGAGUCGUUGAUUUCACACUGCCAAGAAAAGCCUCUAGCUAGAAUUGUGGUGCCCGUACCGCAAACCGACACAGGUAGUCAAGAUGAGAAUUCUAAGGUGAGCGAGCGAACUCUCGUUAAGGAACUCGGCAAAAUGACCCCGUAACUUCGGGAGAAGGGGUGCUCUUUAGGGUUAACGCCCAGGAGAGCCGCAGUGAAUAGGCCCAAGCGACUGUUUAUCAAAAACACAGGUCUCUGCUAAACCGUAAGGUGAUGUAUAGGGGCUGACGCCUGCCCGGUGCUGGAAGGUUAAGAGGAGUGGUUAGCUUCUGCGAAGCUACGAAUCGAAGCCCCAGUAAACGGCGGCCGUAACUAUAACGGUCCUAAGGUAGCGAAAUUCCUUGUCGGGUAAGUUCCGACCCGCACGAAAGGCGUAACGAUUUGGGCACUGUCUCAACGAGAGACUCGGUGAAAUCAUAGUACCUGUGAAGAUGCAGGUUACCCGCGACAGGACGGAAAGACCCCGUGGAGCUUUACUGUAGUCUGAUAUUGAAAUUCGGCACAGCUUGUACAGGAUAGGUAGGAGCCUGAGAUACGUGAGCGCUAGCUUACGUGGAGGCGUUGGUGGGAUACUACCCUCGCUGUGUUGGAUUUCUAACCCGCACCAUUUAUCAUGGUGGGAGACAGUGUCAGAUGGGCAGUUUGACUGGGGCGGUCGCCUCCUAAAGAGUAACGGAGGCGCUCAAAGGUUUCCUCAGAAUGGUUGGAAAUCAUUCGUAGAGUGUAAAGGCAUAAGGAAGCUUGACUGCGAGACUUACAAGUCGAGCAGGGUCGAAAGACGGACUUAGUGAUCCGGUGGUUCCGCAUGGAAGGGCCAUCGCUCAACGGAUAAAAGCUACCCCGGGGAUAACAGGCUUAUCUCCCCCAAGAGUUCACAUCGACGGGGAGGUUUGGCACCUCGAUGUCGGCUCAUCGCAUCCUGGGGCUGUAGUCGGUCCCAAGGGUUGGGCUGUUCGCCCAUUAAAGCGGUACGCGAGCUGGGUUCAGAACGUCGUGAGACAGUUCGGUCCCUAUCCGUCGUGGGCGUAGGAAAUUUGAGAGGAGCUGUCCUUAGUACGAGAGGACCGGGAUGGACAUACCUCUGGUGUACCAGUUGUCGUGCCAACGGCAUCGCUGGGUAGCUAUGUAUGGACGGGAUAAGUGCUGAAAGCAUCUAAGCAUGAAGCCCCCCUCAAGAUGAGAUUUCCCAACUUCGGUUAUAAGAUCCCUCAAAGAUGAUGAGGUUAAUAGGUUCGAGGUGGAAGCAUAGCGAUAUGUGCAGCUGACGAAUACUAAUCGAUCGAAGACUUAAUCAAAUUUUA
rnacentral:rRNA from 1 species